rnacentral:rRNA from 1 species
ACUCUCAGCAACGGAUAUCUUGGCUCUUGCCACGAUGAAGAACGCAGCGAAAUGCGAUACGUGAUGUGAAUUGCAGAAUCCCGUGAAUCAUCGANUCUUUGAACGCAAGUUGCGCCC